UGAAAAUAAUAGAAUUUAGUAAGAAACAGGAAGCAUAAUAGACGAAGGAACCGAAUGCGAGAUACUCAACAUGUACUGUUUAAUCAGCUUUGAACUGGGGAAAAUGGGCGAAACAGACUCGGUCAAAAGAACAUAGUUAUAUAAUGCGAGCUGGUCGGUAAAUAACAGUUGCGCUUUAAAAUAAAAGGUCAAAGUUAAUGACUAGUUGGUGAUCACCACACAUUAUAAGCAAAAAGAGCCGAAGCUGAAGCUGCAGCGGCCUCAACUAUGAAGGAGUCGGCGACUUGAACAAUGGAGGAGGCAGUGACUGUGGCUUUGGCGGAGCAGGCGACAUCAAUUAUAACAAAAUGUGCUGUGUUUAUAUAAAAAUUCUUCUCCCGCCUACUGAUAGAUGACGCUAAUAUAAUCGUGUGUGUGAAGUUUCAGAUGAGCGCGUCAUUCAAGUGUAUAUUUAAGUAUUAAUAUAGGUCCAAUAAAGUUGUUAUUAUCAUACAAA